GAUGAACGCUGGCGGCGUGCCUAAUACAUGCAAGUCGAGCGAACGGACGAGAAGCUUGCUUCUCUGAUGUUAGCGGCGGACGGGUGAGUAACACGUGGAUAACCUACCUAUAAGACUGGGAUAACUUCGGGAAACCGGAGCUAAUACCGGAUAAUAUUUUGAACCGCAUGGUUCAAAAGUGAAAGACGGUCUUGCUGUCACUUAUAGAUGGAUCCGCGCUGCAUUAGCUAGUUGGUAAGGUAACGGCUUACCAAGGCAACGAUGCAUAGCCGACCUGAGAGGGUGAUCGGCCACACUGGAACUGAGACACGGUCCAGACUCCUACGGGAGGCAGCAGUAGGGAAUCUUCCGCAAUGGGCGAAAGCCUGACGGAGCAACGCCGCGUGAGUGAUGAAGGUCUUCGGAUCGUAAAACUCUGUUAUUAGGGAAGAACAUAUGUGUAAGUAACUGUGCACAUCUUGACGGUACCUAAUCAGAAAGCCACGGCUAACUACGUGCCAGCAGCCGCGGUAAUACGUAGGUGGCAAGCGUUAUCCGGAAUUAUUGGGCGUAAAGCGCGCGUAGGCGGUUUUUUAAGUCUGAUGUGAAAGCCCACGGCUCAACCGUGGAGGGUCAUUGGAAACUGGAAAACUUGAGUGCAGAAGAGGAAAGUGGAAUUCCAUGUGUAGCGGUGAAAUGCGCAGAGAUAUGGAGGAACACCAGUGGCGAAGGCGACUUUCUGGUCUGUAACUGACGCUGAUGUGCGAAAGCGUGGGGAUCAAACAGGAUUAGAUACCCUGGUAGUCCACGCCGUAAACGAUGAGUGCUAAGUGUUAGGGGGUUUCCGCCCCUUAGUGCUGCAGCUAACGCAUUAAGCACUCCGCCUGGGGAGUACGACCGCAAGGUUGAAACUCAAAGGAAUUGACGGGGACCCGCACAAGCGGUGGAGCAUGUGGUUUAAUUCGAAGCAACGCGAAGAACCUUACCAAAUCUUGACAUCCUUUGACAACUCUAGAGAUAGAGCCUUCCCCUUCGGGGGACAAAGUGACAGGUGGUGCAUGGUUGUCGUCAGCUCGUGUCGUGAGAUGUUGGGUUAAGUCCCGCAACGAGCGCAACCCUUAAGCUUAGUUGCCAUCAUUAAGUUGGGCACUCUAAGUUGACUGCCGGUGACAAACCGGAGGAAGGUGGGGAUGACGUCAAAUCAUCAUGCCCCCUAUGAUUUGGGCUACACACGUGCUACAAUGGACAAUACAAAGGGCAGCGAAACCGCGAGGUCAAGCAAAUCCCAUAAAGUUGUUCUCAGUUCGGAUUGUAGUCUGCAACUCGACUACAUGAAGCUGGAAUCGCUAGUAAUCGUAGAUCAGCAUGCUACGGUGAAUACGUUCCCGGGUCU
rnacentral:rRNA from 1 species